ensembl:lncRNA
CAGAAACUGAGUAGAACGUGUGGCGCCAGUAAUUUAGACAAGUGAGGUCACAAAGUCUGAGUCACAAGGCCAGGGUUCCAAGCCAGGUCAGCCUGACCAGCCCUGUGCCUGACACAUGGGUUCAUGAAACAAAUGACAACUAGAGGAUUAAGCACAGCAGCAGGAGUGACUUAGAGGGCUGCAUUCAGAACAAACCAGGAACACUACUCUGACUCGAGGUGACAUUAACAGAGCCAGCACGUCUGGAUUGGGGAGGGGGGCUGUCAUCCUUGGGGCUCACCCCAAGCCUCUGCUGGAGCCCCACAUGUAGUCUUGGGGCAGCACCUUAGGCGCCAUCCAGCAACCUUGAGCACCGCUACAGAAGAGGACCAGAAGUGAGGGCAAGGGGCAAGAACCGAGCUCCCCGUGAGGAACAGCUCCAGGCAGCAGGCAGAGAGGUCACUGCUGCAGGAGAGGCAGCUGCACUCGCCUGGAAGAGCAGCUCAAGCCCGGGGCAAGAGAGGAAGGAAGAAACCGCUUCCUUCCAGUGUGGGGCAGGGUGGAGGGCUUGCAGUCAUCAACGUGGCUAUAUCUCAAGGCUUUCUAGAAAGAGCAAAUGUGUCGUCCAAGAACCAGAGCAGGGCUCUGGAGGGAGGCCUGAUGCCACAGCUAGAACCUGCAGGAAUAUCUGGGAUGGAUGAAGGGCACAGCCAAAGGCCUGCUCACUUUAGGACUAAGGAUUAUGAAGAUUCUAAAAGAGCUGGAGGAGAAAAGAUGCCAUGUGUAAAGUGUGAAGACGCGGAGAGACUCAUCCUGGGCUCCAGCCAGCCCAGGGCACGGAGGGCCACCUGCCCCUCUGCAGGACAGGGAGGACCCAAGAGACCACACAGCUGGCUGAAGGCCCACAGCAGGGUCUGAGGACAGCCACAUGCUGCCUCACUGAACAAAGCAGCAGACUUCUCGGGUCAGGAAAAUGCAGUCUCUGGGGUUUUCUCCGGAUUCCCCAAUCAGUCUGUGAGACCCAACCAAGGCAAGUGCUUGGCUAGAUGGAAACAAAAUUCAAAGGAAACAGAAUAAUGGCAACUCCUUCCCAGGCCAAGACUCUCCACCCCAUCCUGGAGGAGACAAAGCUGCAUUCAGUAAUCAACCAAGUUUGGAUCUGCAACUGAGGAACCUGCUCGGGAAGAGGGUUCGAUCACAUCCCACACAGCCAGGCGUGAGGGUGGUCAGGCAGCAACAGCACUGGCGGCCCAGGAGAGGGUUGCACACUCUGCCAGACAAGACAGGACCCAGGGAGGAGCAGCCAUCUGAAGUGAGAAGGACCAGUUAGGAUGACACCACCUCUGACACAAUUCAAUACCUAUUCAUAAUAAUAAUUCAGUAAGGAAUGCAGGGAGCUGCUGUAACCAUCUACAGCUGACAUCAGUGAAAGACAACACCUUCCCAUGGGAUCAGAGGCAGGACCAGGAAGCUGGCUCUGACCACUUCUUUCUGAACACAGCAUCGAAAGAUCUGGAAAAGGGAGACAGGAAGGAAAGAGGAAACACAACUAACCUGUUUGCAGCCAGCAUGGUUACCGACAAAGAAAAUCUCAAGAAUUCUAACCAACAACUCACAAGAUAAAAGAUUAACGCAGAAAAAUCAACUGCAUUACCAUGUACUGCCACUGAGCAUGUGGAAACUGAAAAGCACAUUAUCAUUUACAAUAUUCCCUCGAAGAUUAAAGGUAUAAAUCCAGCAAAACAUCUGAGACAUGUCUGAGACAUCUGUAUAGGAUCUGAUAAAUGGCUAAAAUUAAAACUAGCGACACCACCAAAUGCUGGCAAGGAUGCAGAGCAAACAGCACUCGUAGCCGGUGCCAGAAAUGCAGACUGGUACACCCACUCUGGAAAGUGGUCUGGAAGUUCUUUAAAACUGAAAAUGGGCUUUCUGAAACAGCCCGGCAAAUACACUGUGGCACACAUACCCCAGAGAAAUGCAAAC